AGUGAACGCUGGCGGUAUGCCUAACACAUGCAAGUCGAACGGCAGCACAGUAAGAGCUUGCGCUUACGGGUGGCGAGUGGCGGACGGGUGAGGAAUACAUCGGAAUCUACUUUUUCGGGGGGGAUAACGUAGGGAAACUUACGCUAAUACCGCAUACGACCUACGGGUGAAAGCAGGGGAUCUUCGGACCUUGCGCGAUUGAAUGAGCCGAUGUCGGAUUAGCUAGUUGGCGGGGUAAAGGCCCACCAAGGCGACGAUCCGUAGCUGGUAUGAGAGGAUGAUCCGCCACACUGGAACUGAGACACGGUCGAGACUCCUACGGGAGGACGCAGUGGGGAAUAUUGGACAAUGGGCGCAAGCCUGAUACAGCAAUACCGCGUGGGUGAAGAAGGCCUUCGGGUUGUAAAGCCCUUUUGUUGGGAAAGAAAAGCAGCAGGUUAAUACCCCGCUGUUCUGACGGUACCCAAAGAAUAAGCACCGGCUAACUUCGUG
rnacentral:rRNA from 1 species